UAGCCAACCAAGUAUUAAAGGCGACGCCUGCCCAGUGAAAAAUUAAACGGCCGCGGUAUCCUAACCGUGCAAAGGUAGCACAAUCAUUUGUCUAUUAAUUGUAGACCUGUAUGAAAGGCAAAAUGAGAGCCCAACUGUCUCUUAUAACAAAUCAAUUAAACUGAUCUCCUAGUACAAAAGCUAGAAUACUAACAUAAGACCAGAAGACCCUGUGAAGCUUUAACUAACCUAUUAAACCCAAUAAUAGCUACUUUAGGUUGGGGCGACCUUGGAAUAAAAAAGAACUUCCAACCUAUGACUUUCUCAUAAAUGAGGCAAACAAGCCUACACUAGACCCAGCACAGCUGACAAUCGAAACAAGUUACUCCAGGGAUAACAGCGCUAUCUUCUUUAAGAGCCCAUAUCAAAAAGAAGGUUUACGACCUCGAUGUUGGAUCAGGACACCCCGGUAGUGCAACCGCUACUAAAGGUUCGUUUGUUCAACGAUUAAUAGUCCUACGUGAUCUGAGUUCAGACCGGAGUAAUCCAG
rnacentral:rRNA from 1 species